GCAGCAUGGAGAGUAGCGACUUUCAAGUAGCGAAGGAAUCGGGGCUCGAUGAUAAUUUUAUGAUAUUCAAUGGUUUUUACUGAUACCCAGGUGAAGCAGUAGAUGUGGCAAUCCGGGUUGAAUUUUUUCGGAUGAUCAGACUGUGGUGUUAAAUCAUCUGUUGUUGAUGCAACGAGCAAUGUGGCCAGACCUUUUAGGGUUGUGGUGAAUGUGCUGCUCCAAAUUUGUGUCUUGGUACUUCCAUUCUAAAACUUAUUCCAUGGGAUAUGCUGUCAUUGUAUAAGUGAAAUGUUGACUCUUUAUAUAAGUAUUUCAAAAAGAUGAAAGGAACAAUAGGGACCUAAGAUCAAUAAUGAUUUGUUUCUGAAC